UGGGAUUGAGGAGAACACUAGGUGUUGGGUUAACGUAGCUACAAUCUAGUUCAGGUUACUGGGAUUGAGGAGAACACUAGGUGUUGGGUUAACGUAGCUACAAUCUAGUUCAGGUUACUGGGAUUGAGGAGAACACUAGGUGUUGGGUUAACGUAGCUACAAUCUAGUUCAGGUUACUGGGAUUGAGGAGAACACUAGGUGUUGGGUUAACGUAGCUACAAUCUAGUUCAGGUUACUGGGAUUGAGGAGAACACUAGGUGUUGGGUUAACGUAGCUACAAUCUAGUUCAGGUUACUGGGAUUGAGGAGAACACUAGGUGUUGGGUUAACGUAGCUACAAUCUAGUUCAGGUUACUGGGAUUGAGGAGAACACUAGGUGUUGGGUUAACCUAGCUACAAUCUAGUUCAGGUUACUGGGAUUGAGGAGAACACUAGGUGUUGGGUUAACGUAGCUACAAUCUAGUUCAGGUUACUGGGAUUGAGGAGAACACUAGGUGUUGGGUUAACCUAGCUACAAUCUAGUUCAGGUUACUGGGAUUGAGGAGAACACUAGGUGUUGGGUUAACGUAGCUACAAUCUAGUUCAGGUUACUGGGAUUGAGGAGAACACUAGGUGUUGGGUUAACCUAGCUACAAUCUAGUUCAGGUUACUGGGAUUGAGGAGAACACUAGGUGUUGGGUUA